rnacentral:rRNA from 1 species
CUACGGGUGGCUGCAGUGGGUAAUAUUGGACAAUGGGCGAAAGCCUGAUCCAGCCAUGCCGCGUGUGUGAAGAAGGCCUUCGGGUUGUAAAGCACUUUCAGUGGGGAAGAAAGCCUUGGGGCUAAUACCCUCGAGGAAGGACAUCACCCACAGAAGAAGCACCGGCUAACUCCGUGCCAGCAGCCGCGGUAAUACGGAGGGUGCGAGCGUUAAUCGGAAUUACUGGGCGUAAAGCGCGCGUAGGCGGUCUGAUAAGCCGGUUGUGAAAGCCCCGGGCUCAACCUGGGAACGGCAUCCGGAACUGUCAGGCUAGAGUGCAGGAGAGGAAGGUAGAAUUCCCGGUGUAGCGGUGAAAUGCGUAGAGAUCGGGAGGAAUACCAGUGGCGAAGGCGGCCUUCUGGACUGACACUGACGCUGAGGUGCGAAAGCGUGGGUAGCAAACAGGAUUAGAUACCCGGGUAGUC